CGUGAUCUAAUUUAACGGCCGCGGUAUCUUGACCGUGCAAAGGUAGCAUAAUCAAUUGUUCUUUAAAUAAGGACUAGUAUGAAUGGCAUUACGAGGGUUUAACUGUCUCCCUAUUUUAAUCAAUGAAAUUGAUCUUCCCGUGAAGAAGCGGGAAUAUAAUUAUAAGACGAAAAGACCCCAUGGAGCUUUAAACUUAUUUUCAAUUACCAAAAUCCAAAACAUAUACCUGGUAAAAAUGAUAAUCGUUUUCGGUUGGGGCGACCCUGGAGAAAAAUAAAUCCUCCAAGCUGAAUAGAUCAAAAAUCUAAUGUUAGAGUGACAACUCAAACAAUCAAAAUCUUGACAAAAUGACCCAGAAUUUAUCUGAUCAACGAACCAAGUUACCCUGGGGAUAACAGCGCAAUCCAUUUCAAGAGCCCUUAUCGACAAAUGGGUUUACGACCUCGAUGUUGGAUCGGGAUAUCCUAGCAGCGCAGCCGUUGCUUAAGGUUCGUUUGUUCAACGAUUAACAAUCCCAC
rnacentral:rRNA from 1 species